rnacentral:rRNA from 1 species
CUAGUAGUGAUCCUGGCUCAGAACGAACGCUGGCGGCAUGCCCAUGAUUGUUAUGAUAGUCCGAAGGCUUGCCUUCCAGUGAUAGUAUGAGUAACACGUGGGAACCAGUAGUUGCCUUUCCCAGUGAUAGCGUUUGGAAAACGCUAACACCCAGUAGUAAAUUCGGGGGAAACCAUGACCAUGAUAGAAGGCCCGCGUCGGAUUAGGUAGCCAGUGACACGAUUAGUACUCACCAAGCCUGCGAUCCGUCCAGUAGUAGACAAGGAUGAUCAGCCACACUCUGAGACACGGCCCCCAGUGACUAGCACGGGAGGCAGCAGUGCCAGUGAAUUACAGUGAUAUGGGCGCAACAGCAAUGCCGCCCAUGACCAGUGAUAGUAGAGGCCUUAGGGUUGUAAAGCUCCCAGUGAUAUAGAUGACAGCGUGAGAAGAAGCCCCGGCUAACUUCGUGCCAGCAGCCGCGGUAACUAGGAAUUAGUAAGCGUUGUUCGGAACAGUAGGCAGUAGGUAAAGGGCGCGUAGGCGGCCUGUUUAGUCAGAAGUGAAAGCCCCGGGCUCAAGGCAGUAGGCUUUUGAUACAGUAGUAGUAGAGUUCCGGAGAGGAUGGUGGAAUUCCGUGAUAGUGUGAAAUUCGUAGAUAUUGCUAGGCAGUAGUAGGACGAAGGCGGCCAUCUGCCAUGGUACUACGGUCAGUAAAUGGAAGCCAGUGACCAGUGAUGAUAGUACGUGGGGAGCAAACAGGAUUAGAUACCCAGUAGUACCAGUAGCGGGGUGCAUGCACUCCAGUAGUAGUAAGCAUUCCGCCCCAGUCCAGUGAUAGUGAAACCGUCGACUAGUAGUAACUCAAAGGAAUUGACGGCCAGUGAUAUAACCCAGUAGCACAAGCGGUGGCCAGUAGUAGUAAACGCGCACCUUACCAACCCUUGACAUGUCCAUUAUGGGCUCGAGCCAGUUAGGAUCAGUAGUCCUUCAGUUCGGCUACAGGUGCUGCAUGGCCCAUUACCAGUACGUGUCGUGAGACCAGUAGUAGUACCCGCAACGAGCACAACCCCUACCGUCACCAGUAGCAGUAGUAGUUGGGCACUCCAGUGACGAUGGACUAACAAGCCGGAGGAAGGCGGGGAUGACAUAAACUGAUGAUAAACCUCGUGGCGUGGCGGUGACAGUGGACACGCCAGUAGUAUAACUAUGACGCGAAGUCGCGAGAUCACUUAGUAGCAGGGAGCAAAUCCCCAAGAUAGGCUACAAUCGCACUCUGCAUGCGUGAAGUUCCAGUGAUAGUGACGCGGAUCAGCCCGAUGACGCCGCGGUGAAUACGUCCGUGGCUGAUACACCGCCCAGUGAUAGUGAGUUGGCUUUACCCCAGUGAUAGCGCUAACCCAGCCUUAGGUACGUUACAGCCCCAUUUAGCAGUAGUGAUACGACUCCAGUAGUAGGUAGCC